CUAGCCUGGAAACUUCCAUAUGCCUCAGGUGCGGCCCUAAAUAAAUAAAUAAGUAAAAACCUUUCCACUUACAACAGAUUUAUGUAGUUAGCACUAAUAUUCAAGAUUGGAAAAAUUAUUUCCAUGUUCUCAGGUUAUCAGCAAUAAUCUUCCAUACUUCAUAGUAAGUUCAGGCAGAACUUAUCUUCGGCUGUUUGUAUGUGUGCUUAGAUAUAUUAUAUUCAGAGAGAUUCUGUACUGUGGUUUGUUUUCCUAAAGGAGAAUAUAGGCAGAGCCUCCCUGCCACAUGCUCCAUUGGUUAGGCUCUGAGUAUGUGAGGGCGGGAUAGGAUUGGUCCUCUUGAUUCCUCGCCCUCACCUCAAACAUUCAGCACUAGUUCCAUCUACAAACAAACACACAAGAACCUGAUUUGCUUGUUGGUGACUUGAUGCUAUCUCAGAAGACAAUUUCUAUAUACCAAGAUAGACAAACCUGGGGACAAAUUCUGUGGGUAAUUGCACUUAGAAAUGUCAAAUCUUUAACUUUGAAGCUGCUGCAUCUUUUCAGUGCUUUAUUAAGUUAUAAAGAUUUUGCAGAAGUUUGACAAGAAUGGAGAUAAUUUAAACAAUAUUUCACUUUGUUGAAUACCUAAAUUAUCUUAUUGAUUCUCAUAAAUGUUUAACAAUAUUAUAGUAUUUUGUUGAUUAAUAUGUGUGAGAUCAAAUGUGAUAUUUAUCAGUAAAAAAAAAAAAAAAGGAUUUUUGGUGUAGUUGUCAAAGUUCAAGUUUUGGAAUCAGAGAAUCCAAGUUCCAAAUCCCCCCUUUACCAUUUAUCAUCCAUGUAAGCUUGGAGGAAAUUGCUUAAAUACUUCAUCCUCAGAGGGCAUAUAUACUGCCUAUGUCCCAGGGUUUCUAUAAGGAUAAAUCAUAUGUGCUCAAUAAAUAGUGCUUAUGAUGGAAAUGUUGCUUUGCACUUUCUUUCCUAUACUUGGGAACCACAAGGGGGAGAAAAGAUUAUUGUUAUUCCCUUCAGGAAAAAAUAUUUUUAAAAUGUAAAAUCAUAUCACACAUGCCAUCUCAUUGUGGUUUUGAUAUGUGUUUAGUGAUAUAGAGCAUCUCUUCCUGCGUUUAUUGGCCACUUGUAUACCUUCUUUGAAUAUUCAAGUCUUUUGCUUGUUUUUAAAUUGGGACAGUUUUUUGUUGUUGGCUUUUAUCCACAGGUGAUUCUUAGAGAAGCAAAGUGAAUUGAGAAGGUGAGUCCUUCAUGAAGUGUCAAGGGCCCUCUGUGGGGUGGUUUGAACCCACCUUUUGUCUCCUCUGCUGCUUUUCCCAGCAAGAAUCUUUUGCUCUAGCUAUAUGUUUACAUCUUCUAGCCUUUGUUUAUACCAUUCCAACAACUUGGAUAGCUGAAGCAGAAAGACUUGUUCUUGUCUGCAUAAGGACCACCCUUCUCUGUCUCCUACAGAAAUAGUUCUGGUGGAACUAUAGAUCACAGUGUCCCUCCCAUUCCUGGCCACAUUGGUGGUGCAUGACCUAGGCUUGCCCAAUCCCAGUGCCCCCAUCACUGUGAUAUCAGAAUUGGCUCAAAGGAUGGACAUGCCAAACAAGACUCAAUUUCUGUACCUUCAGGGAGAUGUCUCUUUCUGCUUGGCUUGCCAAGCUAGGAUGAUAUAAGCCUGGACUACUUGCUUCUUCCUUGACAGUGUAGCCCAUCUAUAGGGAGAAAGAAAAGGUUACCAGGCAAAUGUAAGAAUAUGAUUAUUUAAAUCCCUGGAUCCAACCAUACCUGAAACUAGAUACCCCAAACUGGAUAUUUUCCAUACAUAAGCUAAUAAAUUCCCCUUUUUCCUAAGCUCACCUGAAUUCAGUUUUUGUCACUGGUAACAGAGGAAAUUCUGACUAAUAUAAACUCCCAUUCCUAGUUCUCUCAUCUGUCCCUUCAUGCGUCCAUCCGCCCACUCUUAAGCCUUUUAACUCACCCAACUUGGAUCUGCCGUCUUUUCUUUUCAUCUGGUCCAAAAUGAUGUUCUUACUAGGGAUCUCCAGUAAUCAAGGAGUGGAGAGACAGCUUUCCAAGUGUUCUGAUUUCCAACCUCCUGUCCUCCCUGUCCCUUAAGUUUUUCUGUGUUACAUACUCUCUGUUUCUACCUUGUGUAACAGGGUGAAUCUUUAUGAAAAAAUAGUCUUGUGGUGGCUAGUGUGGGCUUAUGAGGGAGACAUUUGGCAUCCCCAACUCCCCUACUCACACCUUAGGGCAGCGCUGGGCAGAGGCUGAGCUCCUGUCUGAAGAAGGAGGAGCACGGGGUCUGCAGAGACAUAUGGAGGGAGAGUGAAAAAGGUAAUUGCAGAAAACAGGACCUGGUGAUCUCCUUGCUGCGGGUUUUGAAUAUAUGGCAUUUUCCCUUUGGUAGCUAUGCCCUUCCAUAGAGGGUUUCCCACCCCCAGCCCACGAAGGGAAAACUGCCCCCAGGUGGGAUUUAGAAAGAGGUGGGCCAUUCGCAUGGGAGCCACUCAUCUUUAUGUUUCAGUCCCGAGAGGGUGGAGCUGGAUCCUUUAUCAGAGGCAGUGUUUUCUUUCACUCCCAGAACCCUAGGAGUCCAGGACUGUUGGUCAGCAGGCCACCUGCAGGCCCAGAUCAGAGGAGAAUCUCCUCGUCCAUCUCCAUCCUGCCCCCUGAAACGAUUCUCUUCUCUCCACUCUGAGCCUCUGCGCGCCCCCACCCUCCAGGCACAUGUCUGAAUCUUUGUUUCUUGCUCUUGCACUUUCUUUGAGACUUUUGUGAACUGAGAAGGGGAAACGCCUUUCAGGGUCUCCAUGUUAGAGGGAAGGAAAUUUCAUAGAAAAUGCUUAGUGUUAAAACUCAGCGUUUGGACUAAUGGAUGAACAAAUAUGUUCUGUCUGUAUAAUGGAACAUUAUCUAGCCCCAAAAGGGAAGGAGAUUCUGAUACAUGCUACGACAUGGAUGAACUUUGAGACCAUUAUUCUAAAUAAAAUAAACUAGUCACAAAAAGGACAAAUCCUGUAUGCUUCCACUUAUAUGAGAUCCCUAGAGGAGUCAAAUUCAUAGAGACAGAAAGUAGAAUGGUAACUGCCAGGGGCUGGAGGAGGAGAGAAUUGACAGUUAUUUUAUUAUUAUUAUUAUUAACUUAUUUAUUUUGCUUUUUAGGGCUGCACCCAUGCCCUUUGGAAGAUCCAAGGCUAGGAUUGAGUCAGAGCUAUGGCUGCCGGCCUACAACACAAACACAGCAAUGUGGGAUCUGAGCUACGUCUGCAACCUACACCACAGCUCACAGCAACACCAGAUCCCUGACCCACUGAGCGAGGCCAGAGACUGAACCCGUAUCCUCAUGGAUACUAGUCAGAUUCGUUUCCACUGCACCACAAUGGGAACUCCAAGAGUUAUUUAAUAGGUAUACAUUUUCAGAUUGGGAAGAUGAAAAAAUUCUGGAGAUGAAGGGUGGUGACAGUUGCCAAUAGUGUCACUAUACUUAAUUCCGCUGAACUAUGCACUUAAAACUGGUUAAGAUGAUAAAUUUUGUGUAUGUAUAGUUUCAAACACAUACACACACACACACACACACACUUUGAGCUGGACCCUGCCCCUUAGUGUUCACCUCAUCAGGAGGACCCAAAGUUAUUUCCAGUGGGUGAGAGUGUGGACAUUAUCAUGUUCUUCCUUGAGCCUGAGAGGGUGCUAGGGUGGCGUGGCCAUGAAAGCCAGCCCCCCAAGGACACAAUAUCAGGGUCCCAGAGACCAGAUAAGCCAUAUUGAGGUGUCCCGCCUCCCAGCCACAGCCUUUUCCCCUGGUGGCUAAGGCUUCCCAGAGACAGGGACCCAUGGUUCAGGGAUGAGGGACAAAUAUCCCCACACUGACCAGGCCACAGACUCAUAUGUGUCCUUCAGCAGAGGUGGCUGAGCUUUUCACAGGUGCCUGGAAGGAACCUAGGCCCACUCGUCUAGUCACCCCUGAGGGAGACCAACGCCUCAGCAUGGUUCUGUCCAGGACGUGGUUACAGUUGGGAGGCUCUGUGGGGACAGGAAUCCAAAAAGACCUGAGUCUGAACACUUCAGAACAAAUGUCAGACAAAACUAAAACCACUUCCUGGGGGGGACAAUGCCUGGAGAGUAGGAGCCCAACUUGCCACCCUCCACACCUGCCACUGCUAGGGUAGACUUUUGGAACUUCCAAGGUUGACAGAGUUCAAGAUGCUUUUCCUCAUUAACUGCCUCAGCCACAAUUUCACAGCCUCUUCCACCCACUCUGGCAUCAUCAUUAUCAACAACAACAAUAAAAAUAAUACAACGGCAGCAGCUGAUACUGAGGGUGUCUCAUACAGCAACCACCAAGUCUUUACAUGGUCUAACUCGGUGGUAGAUGCUAUUUUCAUGAUCCCCAUUUUACAGAUGUGGAAACUGAAGCACAGAGAGGCUAAGAAACUUGCCGCAGGUUACACAGCUGGUGACUAAUGAAACUGGGAAUCAAACUAAGGCUGUCUCUCUCCAGAGCCUGUGAGUUUUCUCGCUGCAGUGUAUAGUUCUUCAGUACUGUAAGAUGACAAAUGCUCACACACCUGCUCUCCUAAAGAAACUCACAAGUACCAGCAACUGGAGCAACUGGAUCUGGGGUCAAAGCUGCAUCCCAGCACGUCAGCUUUCCAGCCAGGCAACUUUGGCUAAUUACUCCAUUUCUCUUGGCUUUAUUUACAUUAUCAGCCAAAUGGGGGUAUAAUCCCUUAUUUGUAAGGGCCUGUGAGGAUUAAAUGAGAUCACAUGCAUGAAUGUGUGCAGCACCAUAGACCCCCAGCCAUGGUGGACACCUAGAAGAUGUGGCCUCAGUCCUCUCCCUUUUUGUAUGUCCUCCAAAGUUCCCUUAACUCUCCUGGAUGAAAGAACAACAUCUACAAAACAGAGACAAGUCUAUGCAUUCUGCCACACAAAGCUCUUGGAAGAGACAAACGCAGGUAAUGUAAGACUCCACGGCACAAAGGCCAGUGCUCCGUGGAUGGCCUUUAAGAAGCCGUGAGACUCUGGGGGAAAAACAUGUUUUCCCAGCACAUUCUUGCCCACUGGAAGGAUCUUUGACUUAGUGGCCUGAUGCCCUGCUCUCAGUUCUGUCAUUCCAUCAGAAGGCCCUUGGGGACUAGCCAGUCUGCAAGCCCAGGGCACAUGCCCCCACUCAAUCAUCAGAUUCUCCUUCAAGACUCACCUCUGAAUACAAAAAAGGUCUGUCUGGGAACUUAUUCAUCUUCUUGACCUCCCUGUUCUAUAGAUGGAUUAUGGGAAGAAACAUGAAUAAUUGAAGAAGCAGGCCACAAGGAAAGCAUACAGAAGAAGAUCAAGACAAAAUCCCAAAGUUUGUAAUGGUUUUCUGAAGCCUGCGCCCACUCCCUCCAUCACUUCUGUUCAUUACUUGGAAAGCAACCAAGAUGAUCCUUUUUGGGAGGACAGUUACAUUCAGUGACCAUACUGCCUUAUUAAGGUGGUGGAGGUGAGAAUAAACUACCUUUAAGGAGGUAGUUGCCAUUAUUUUGCAUAAGACCGAAAUGAUCUCACAGUGGUCAGAGUGAUCUCAUUUUGUCGUCCUUCCGCAACACCUGGAACUUUCUCCUCAUGAAUCAACUUAACCACCAGCCUAUUGCUGGGUGACUGAAAAGUGAUGAAGGAGACUGAAUAAUCAUCCAGAUCAGUGGUACCAUAAGUCCAUGGUCUCUGAGUUCAACUUGCCUUUGGUUUAUUUGGAAAAUCUUUGCUAUAUGUGUGAGUUCUCUACAGUCCAAAAGUUCAGCCUUUCAUUCAAAUCACAUGUUUUUUUCAGAGCCUCUCUCAGAAGUGAAGAAGCCAUAAUUUACACAAAAACUGAGGAUAUCAAGUGUGAAAUCUCUCAACUUCUCAUUCUAUAAUUUAAAUAGUACCUAUAUUGGCUGAACUUAACACUUACCUUUUUUCUUCAAAUCUCAGAGAAGCAGCUGCCUCUCUUUUCUCCCAUUGAAGGCAUUUUUGCUUUGAUCUAAAUUCCUCCCAUAUCCUCCACAUUUAAUGCUUCAUCAGCUCUAUUUACCUCUCUUUUUUAAACCCUAACCUCUACAGAUUGCAAGACAUCUAUGCCUCUCAUUAAAAUAAAAUGAGACUUUUCUUUUACUCUAUACUCAUUUCUGACACUAUUCCCCAAACUUCCAUAUCCUUUUUUUCACAAAUUGCUCAGAACGUUUUUCUACUAUAACUGUCUCCAAUUUCUUACUUCACAAUUGUCACUUAACCACAGCUAGAAUUCUGCCCUAUCAUGCCAUUGAAGCUACUAAAGUCAGUGAUUGAGACUAGGUCAGUCUCAGAUCAACAGCCAGUCAAGUGCUCUUUAAAUCACAAAGUCCAUUUAUACUAUUUGUAUAAUGCUAUUGCUGCUGCUAUAAGCUAACAUUUAUUGAACAAUUACAAUUUUCUAGGGGCUAUGUAAAAUACUUUUCAUACAUUGUCUUAUGACAUCCUUUCCAUUGAGUAACUUUUAUUGUUAUUAUUUUGUAGGUGAAGAGAGGGAAGCACAGAGAAAUUAGUAACUGACUCAUAAUCACAAAGACAAUUGAUAGCAGAGUUAUGCAGAUCUCAUUUUAAACCCCAUACCAUAAUGACUACAUUAAAUAUGUCAGAGUAAGUACCAGUAUUAAAAUCGUAGUGAAAACAACAUUAAAUUCUACAUAAAACAUCUUGAGAACUUUUCCUAGACAUAUCAAGGAGAUAGGAAGAAAAUAAUAAAAAUGCAGGUCAAGAACUAAGUGGAAGCAAGAAUACAAAAAGCUUACUACUGAUGGAACUUUCUCUUCGACAGUGUCAGCUGAUCUAGGUAUACCUAAACCUUAAUUUAUAAGGUCUUUAGUGGCUCAGAGAAUAGGAGGCAAGACCCAAGGCGCAUUCAAAGAAGUGAGUCUGGUAAGACUCCACUCCCCAGAAUGCUAAAUUAUCAUUUUAAGGGUGAAUGAGAAAGUCAUUUCUUCUUUCCAGCCAUCACUGCUACCACAACCCCAAACCAAAAAGAAAACUGCCUGGUUUAAACCUUGAUGUCAAAUGCAGUUGAUUCACAAACAAAAAACCCAAACUUCCUUGACACUCAAUCCAUAACUAAUACAAGCACUCAUCAGAGUUUGGAGCCUUUAUUCACACACAACCAACUCAAAGAUAAACCAUAAUAUUCCGAAUGUGUAAAUUCAAUAGCUCUGAACUCUAUGUGAAUAAACUGAAAAACCACAACUGAGAAUUUGACAAACUGAUCUUUGACUGAUAAUGGCCUAGCCUCCUCAGAGAAGCAAGUGCUUUUUCAAAAAAGCUACCUCCAAACUAUGCCUCAAAAACUCUUAACAAAUAAGUUCCAACAAAGAUGAAGAAAUUAGAGUAAAAUAAUUCUCAAAAUGGGCAAGACGCAUAUAUCCUGAAAAAAGAGUCUGAGAUUAAAAAACCAAAGUCAUACCCACAAAGGCUUUAAAUACGUGAAUUAGCAGAGUGUAAAGCAAAAGUUGGCUAUGUUUCAGUAAAUAAUAGAGAUCUUUAAAAUAAAAAUGAGGAUAGUUGAACAUAAAUAAAAAGUAUCUUCUGGAAAUGAAAAAAAAUAAUAAUUGGAAUUAAAAGCUCAUACAAGAAAUUGUUGGAAGAUUAAGCAUAGGAGACAAGAAUAUUAGUGAUCUGAAAGACAGCCUAAGUUAGGUCUGAUGAAUUCUGUGUGGCUAAGAACCAGUCUGGAAGGAAAUGGUUUCCUUAAAAUGUCAUUAGUGAAAACAAGCCUGAACAGAGCACAAUAGCCAUGAGGUUUUUUGUUUAGUUUUGUUUAUGAAUCAACUAUUAUGAAUAUAACCUGAGUCCUUAAAAGUUGGGAAAAAUUCAUAGACAUAUUUUAUGAAAGGGGAAAAAUAAAUAUUAGAAAUUGAUUCCAUAUAAGGGGGUAUCAGAACAAGUUUGGCAAACUAAGGGCUAAAAAUGAAAACUGAUCUAUCAUGAAAACUCUAAAUGAAUCAAAUUUACUAAAGAAUCAAUGUUACUUUACUUAUUUCAUCAGUAUCUUUAUAAUCCAAAAUUUAGGGCGUUGCUGUCAUGGCUCAGUGGUAAACAACCCAGCUAGCAUCCAUGAGGAUGCAGGUUUGAUCUUUGGUCUCGUUUAGUGGGUUAGGAAUCUGAUGUUGCUGUUGCUGUGGCGUAGGUCUCAGCUGCAGCUCUGAUUCAACCCCUAGCCUGGGAACUUCCAUAUGCUGUGAUACAUACUGGGUUCCUGACACAGCCACACAGCCAUUAUAGUCUGGAAGAGGUCACCCUGGAAAAUGUGAUUCACUGACUUUUGUGAGUUUCUCUUAGAAAAAAACAGGAAAGUUAUGUCUACAGCUGUUUUUUUUUUUUAAUGAAAGUUAGAAAUGAAUAUUAUAAUUAUACUUGCUGUAAUUAUAUUUUUAAAUGAAAGACACAGGAAACCACUUACACAUUUCUAAGACCUCAUCGGGAAAUUUUAAUGCACACAGGUGCCCAACAUUAAGAGAAAAUCACCAAAUAAUUGCUUCUAUAAUACAGGAGAGUAGGUGAGCCCAUUAAUUUUCUCACAGCCUAAAUAACUGUUCCCCUCUGUUGCCUAAAUGAAUACUAUGGAUGCAGAAAUAUUAGUGGAAUAAUUAGCGAUGUCCAAAGAACUUCCAAAGCCCAUUAAAGUCCAAUAAUGCUAACUUUAACUUUAGCUUCUCAGUUAGACCCUUUUUAACAUUUAACAGCACUGAAGGCUCACUCUCUGAAAUAGAGUGAAAGUAUUUUAGAAUGUCGGCAUAAAAAUACUCAAAUCUCACAUUACCACCUACUAAUGUCAGUAUGUCAAGUUGUGUAUGCAAGUGGCAAAAAGAACAAAGCUUUGGCUUCUUAAACUACCUGAACUUUGCUCUUGUACUUUUAGGAACUACAAAGAAAAUCUUUAUUUUAAAGCCCUUAAAGACAAUAUGUCCAACAUAUAAUAAAAUAUAAAUAAGGAAAAUGUCAGGUAGAUUGAUCUAUUCAUAAGGGUAUUUAAGACUUCUGCAAAAACAAAAAAGGGAGGAAAGAAAUAUUUUCAAUAUUUUAAAUAAGAGAGCUUAGUGUUUGCUUUUUAAAUAAGAAUAUCAAAAAGGGACCACAGUCCAAAAUAAAUAAUUUCUAAUUUCAAUAUUCCCAUUCAUCAUUUACUUAACUAUAGUUAAGUAAAAGUCUAAUAUAAUUUAGAGAUAUUAUAAUGAGUAUAUCACAACUUGAUAAAGAAACAACAAUUUAAUAAUGGUGUGUAAGGACACAUGACUGAAUUUUCAGGGAUUUUAUUAUUAUUGUAUUAUAGUUAGAAUUUGACCAAGUUCACUACUAAUUUAAACAGUGGUGCCAAAUAUCAUGCAAUAAUAUCUAUUUUAAAACUUCAAAAAAGAACUGAACUGAAGAUACGCAAAACAUUCCUUUUACUAUUUUUUAGUUACACUGAAAUAUUCUGUAUUAUAGAAGGCAUAGGAGUUCAAAAUAAGAUGUCUUGCAUUUAUGUGAUAAAGCAUUUCUUUUAUUUCAAUUUUCUUAUAAAAUAUUUUGGCAAAUAAAUAUUACCUCAAAAAUAAUUUGUUCUUUUUAUCAUUUUUUCUUAAGAAAAUAUGAUCAUAUAUUUCUCAACAAUGCUUUGAAAUGAACUGAAAUCAUUUGUUGUAACUUCUCAUUCAUAUGAAAAAGAAAUUUUGCUCUAUUCAACAGACAUACUAUCAAAAGAAAAUACAUGCAGAGUUUGAGCCUUCUAUUAGAGAGAGGAAACUAGUUUUUAAAGUUGAUUUUGAGACAAAGACUGUUACUGAUUUUUACUGAAGCUUCCUUAUAUUAAAAUAUUCAAGAAAUUUGUACUUUUGCAAUAAUUCUAUAGCUAAGAAUCUGAAAUCCUUCAGUGUUCAAAGGGAAUUAACAUUCAUCAUUUCUAACUUUCUGGUUCUUACUUAGUUAUAUUACAUUUACUCAAUCUAAACAAAAUUUAGUUUCUUAUUCUCAGCUCCCACCCUCUAGUCCAUCUUCUAGCUACAAUAUUUGUUCCUCUUUCUUUCUUCUCUUUGCUUAUAAGGGCACCAGCAUCUAUAAUUUGAACUAAGGUAAAAAUCUCAGAGCCUCUUCAAUUGUUCUAUGUCACUCCUUGCCUUUCUAUUCCCAGCUCUCUGAGCUCUACUCUGAAUAUCUCAGUUCAGUGAUGAUCUAUCAAGCUGAUGCUGCCUCAUUUCAGGCUCUCUUGUCUCAUUUGUUAAAUUCAAUAACAGCUUGAAAAUAAUGAUAGCUUCCAUAUCCCAGAAGAUUAGCUUUUUCAUGGACUUUAAGAAAAGUCCAUGAAAUAUUUCAAUCUGAUCCCAGUUUAACAUUCCAUUUUUUUUGCCCUAUAUUUAAGCUAUUUAUAUUUCUUCAAAUGCAACUCAUUACCUACUUUUUUUUUUUUCCUGAAAAAUGUAUGUUCUUUCAUGAUUCCAGUCCUUUGCACACAUGGUUUCUUCUACCUUGAACUGUUCCUUGUCUGCUAGGUCACAUGAUAUCCAUGCCUGGAUUAUACAAUGGCAUAUAUGUACAUAGAUGCAUUGAAUAUAUAACCUCAGCUUAAAUGACUGCUUUUCUGAAGUUUGUCCCAACUCCCCUACAGAGUGCUGCUUCCAUUUGCAUGUUUCCAGUAGUGUGUGUGUGUGUGUGUGUGUGUGUGUGUGUGUAAUUUGUUUUACUAUAGCAUUUACCCUGGCAUAUUAUAAUAUUUAUGUGUCUUCAUUACACAUAAAAUUUGUUUCUCUUCAUAUUUUUUUUAUUUUAGUUUCAUGUCCAGUAGUGGUCAAAUAGUGUUUGUCCUAAUUGUCAAUAGAAGAAUACCAAAAAUCAAUAUUUAGAAAUGAUGGAUGUGAGCUUGAAUUUACCACUUAUUAACUCUGUGAGCUUUGAUAAAUAACUUUCUAGGGCUUAGUUCCUCAGUGUAAAAUGAAGAAAAUCGGACAUGCUGAAUAGGGUGGUUGUGAAUAUUUAUUGAGGUGUAAAAUGCAGUGCCUGGCACAAAGCAAACAAUCAAGAUUAGUUAUGUCAUAUAUUUUGGCAUCUUGUCUUUGAAUACUUUGUAGCUGUCCACCUUAUACUUUCUGUUUAUUAUCUACUGUACACUGGAAGACCAUUAUUAAUUUCCAUCUUUUGUAAUUAGCCAUAUAGUUAUUGGAAAUAGGACUAUUUUCUAAUGCUUUUUUGUUAUCUAAUAAUCCUCAGUGCUAAUGUCUGCAUAUAGAAUAUAGUGAGGAAAUAUUUGUUAAAAGAAUCAAUCUGCCACUAAGAAAGUAUAUUUAUUGAAGUCUUUUUAAUGAGUGCCAUAUCUUUACUUACAGGGAACUGAGAGUAUCUAAAUAGGGAAUUUUUGUAGUUACAUUAUUGUAACAAGAUUCUUAUCAGAAAUUAAACUUGUCAUUGUAAAACUGGUUUAUGAAGAAGUUGCAGGAAUAUUUAAGAAUGCGAAUCAAAAAACCAUUGUGUAUGCUACACAUAACAAAGUCUGCACAGAUGAAAAAUAAUAUGUAUUUUAGAAGUAUAUGGUCAUGGAUUUAAUUCAUGAGCCCAAAACUUACAAUAGAAAAGACAAUUUUUAUUCUGAUAUAUUUAAUAGUAUAGGUUAUUUGGCCUAGUCAUAAACUGAUUUACUAGUUUAGCAACAUAAGAUUUUUGAAGCAAUGUUAAUCUUAUAUUCAUUUUUAAUUUUAAUUAUUCUUAAUAUUCUUAUCUUUUAUAUUGUCAGUUGGUGUGCAGAUUGACUAAUAAAAUCUAUCUCAAAAUUUCAAUAUGUAUAUCUUUAUACACAUAUCUAUAUCUAUGUUUAAUCCUCUUGAACAUAAAUUUUUUAAAUCUACUUUUGUUCCCAUCAUUAGAUUAUUUAACAGAAUAUGUCCUUCAUUUAGGAAUGAAUUUGGGUCACCUUGCUCUAUAAGAAAAGCAGAAUUGCUAUUAAAUGGUACAUAAUGGCAUUCGUCAUUAAUUUAAAAAGUUUCAGUAUAUGAAUAAUGUAUAAAAAGCCUACUUCUCCUUCAAUUACUAAGUUUAAUAGAAAGUCAGGGGAAACAGACAACCAAGCAUUUGAAAAUUAAAUCUGAAUCUUGAUCUCUACGUAUUCUGUCUGACAAUGUUUUAUUGCCUAUUGGAUAAGAAAUUAACAAGCACAAACAAAAAGCUUUACUAUAAAAAGAAAAGCCUUUAUCAUCAUUUUAUAGGACAAGAGGAUGUCAAGGGAAAAUAGAAUUCAAUUUAUAAACCUUUUACCUUGGAAAAUAAAUUGAGAACUUUCAAAAAUAUAUUGAAUAUAAAGUGCUAUGAUGAAACUAAUGGAUACCAAAAGAAAAGCCUUUCAUAUUGUUAAAGUGACACUAAAUGUAAAGAAGAGUGUAUUUACCGAUUGAAAUGGUGCUAUUUGCACAUGAGACAAUAAAAUGUGUCUCCUUUAAUAUAUAUAAAUUGAAACAUUUUAAUAUGAACAACACAUUCAGCAAAGAAGUUGUUCUCUACAAUGUUCUUCAUUUAAACUGGUGGUGUUUUAGAACAAACUCUCUUUCAUGUAAACAUGCACACCUAUAUAUACUUUUUCUUUAUUUUAUAACAUGAUGCGUUUUAUGUCUAUAUGCACCAUCUAACAAGUUUGCUAGGAAGUAACAGCUGUAAUUCUAAACUAAAUUCUGGAUAAAAUAGUCUUUAGUUGAAUGAAAUUCUAAAGUGAUUGGGACCAAAACAAUAUGCCAUAAAGCAGAGUGGCCAAUAUUACAUAAUUUUAUCUUGAGAUUAUAUGGUAAAAUGUUAGUAUUUCCAAUUACUUGUUUUUGGAAUACUUGUAUUCUUUGAGAACCAUGGGUAGGAUGUAACAAUUUGUGAAUCUAUUUUUAUAAAAAUUAUUAAAAAUCUCUGUUUUUUCCUCUAUUUUCCUUUUUAAAAAUUCCUAAAUCAAUUUCAUCUAAUUAUUCUUGCUCUAUGUUAUUCGUAAUGUAACAACUUAAGUGACCAAUAAUCUUUUAUAAUGUGUCUAAUAUAUAAAAUAUUUUGUUACUUCUUGCUUAUU